GGGCCCGCACAAGCGGUGGAGCAUGUGGUUUAAUUCGACGCAACGCGAAGAACCUUACCUGGUCUUGACAUCCUGCGAACUUUCUAGAGAUAGAUUGGUGCCUUCGGGAACGCAGUGACAGGUGCUGCAUGGCUGUCGUCAGCUCGUGUCGUGAGAUGUUGGGUUAAGUCCCGUAACGAGCGCAACCCUUGUCCUUAUUUGCCAUCAUUAAGUUGGGCACUCUAGGGAGACUGCCGGUGACAAACCGGAGGAAGUGGGGACGACGUCAAGUCAUCAUGGCCCUUACGACCAGGGCUACACACGUGCUACAAUGGAGCGUACAAAGGGUUGCGACCUCGCGAGAGUGAGCU
rnacentral:rRNA from 1 species